CUCCCACGGCCCUGCCCUCAGUGUCCAGGUUUGCCCAAGGGGAGAGCCGGUAGGAAAACCCUGACUGGAGAGGGCAGACCCUGCUCAGCCUCGCUGUCAGAGCUGUCCUCUGCUACCAGGGGCGCGCAUCUCCAUCCUCCAUCCAGGAGCGCAGUGCCGCCGCGUCCUGGGCAGAUAAAUGCGCGCACGCACACACACACGCACACACACACAUAUCACAUCGUUUUUCAUGCAAAAUCCAUCUGAGGCAGGUUCUAUGUGCAGCUCCGUUUAAUAGAUAAGCAAACUGAGGCCUUGGGAGAUCAAGAAACGUAGUCAAGAUUACCCAGUUAACAAACAGCAAGUCGGGGAUUUGAACCUGGCCCCACCCAACUUCAGAGUCCAUGUUUUUCAUGUCCUAUUGCCUUGUCCCAGGUAUCUCAAUCUGGGGUUCAGAAUACAUGGCCUCCCUCUGGAUAUGUAACAUGCAAAUAUGUCACAACAUGCAAACUGCAGCUCUGCAUCCCUGGAUGGUUCAGGCCCUGCCUGUCCAACCUUGUACUAUUUUCCCUGAAGCAGGGCAGCCAUAUCUUCUCAGGCUUGGAUUUCCACCUCUGGGAAAACUCGAAAAGCCUAAAAUAAUUUCAUCUUCCAAAAGACCAUUGUUUAUAGAGAUGCUUGGCUCUUUUCCCAGAAGCCCUGGUACGGGUUGAUGGGGGCUUCCCAGAUAUAGCCCCCAAACCCCCCGGGGUCCUACAGGCAGCUCCUGGUACCACCUGAGGGCUGAGGCAGUGCUUGUGGAGUCCAGCGUGAGGGCUCUGGGGCUGGGCUGAGUGCCCUAGACCUGAGUGCCCCCGUGGGGAGGUACGGGAGGGCGUGAGAGGCUGGGCUCCUUGGCCGCUGGACGCCUGGGCGGGCGCCUCUGUGUGGGCAAGGCCUUGUGACAUGCCCGUCUUUCUCUGAUCUCCUGGGAAAGGAACUGGGGCACAGGUGCGAGGGGAGGCUCAGGUCUUCCGAGUGAACCCGACGUGGAGGAGAGUAGAGACACAGGCAGGGAGGAUCCUCCAGCUGGGACAGAAAGCAGCCUUCUAUGGACUUCCCUGGGGAUCCAGGAGUUAAGAAGACGAGGCUUCUUAAGCUGGAGAGAGCCCAGGGCAACAGCGAAGACCCGCACGCCAGAAAAGAAAGAAAGUAAGCAAAGAAGCUUUCUCUUUGGCCUUGGAGACAUGUGGGGUCUGCAGGAAGAGAGAGGAAGUUGAAAGAGUCUUGAGAAGGAAGUAGAGGCAGGAGGGCCGGAGGGAGGUGGUGACCAGAGAGAUUGACGUGAGAUUUUCUCCCAUUUCUGACCCCAG
ensembl:lncRNA